ACGAACGCUGGCGGCGUGCUUAACACAUGCAAGUCGAACGGAAAGGCCCUGCUUUUGUGGGGUGCUCGAGUGGCGAACGGGUGAGUAACACGUGAGUAACCUGCCCUUGACUUUGGGAUAACUUCAGGAAACUGGGGCUAAUACCGGAUAGGAGCUCCUGCUGCAUGGUGGGGGUUGGAAAGUUUCGGCGGUUGGGGAUGGACUCGCGGCUUAUCAGCUUGUUGGUGGGGUAGUGGCUUACCAAGGCUUUGACGGGUAGCCGGCCUGAGAGGGUGACCGGCCACAUUGGGACUGAGAUACGGCCCAGACUCCUACGGGAGGCAGCAGUGGGGAAUAUUGCACAAUGGGCGGAAGCCUGAUGCAGCAACGCCGCGUGCGGGAUGGCGGCCUUCGGGUUGUAAACCGCUUUCGCCUGUGACGAAGCGUGAGUGACGGUAAUGGGUAAAGAAGCACCGGCUAACUACGUGC
rnacentral:rRNA from 1 species